GACGAACGCUGGCGGCGUGCCUAAUACAUGCAAGUAGAACGCACAGUUUAUACCGUAGCUUGCUACACCAUAGACUGUGAGUUGCGAACGGGUGAGUAACGCGUAGGUAACCUGCCUGGUAGCGGGGGAUAACUAUUGGAAACGAUAGCUAAUACCGCAUAAUAUUAAUUAUUGCAUGAUAAUUAAUUGAAAGGUGCAAUUGCACCACUACCAGAUGGACCUGCGUUGUAUUAGCUAGUAGGUGAGGUAACGGCUCACCUAGGCGACGAUACAUAGCCGACCUGAGAGGGUGGUCGGCCACACUGGGACUGAGACACGGCCCAGACUCCUACGGGAGGCAGCAGUAGGGAAUCUUCGGCAAUGGACGAAAGUCUGACCGAGCAACGCCGCGUGAGUGAAGAAGGUUUUCGGAUCGUAAAGCUCUGUUGUAAGAGAAGAACGGGUGUGAGAGUGGAAAGUUCACACUGUGACGGUAUCUUACCAGAAAGGGACGGCUAACUACGUG
rnacentral:rRNA from 1 species